rnacentral:rRNA from 1 species
AGAGUUUGAUCCUGGCUCAGGACGAACGCUGACGGUGUGCUUUAGACAUGCAAGUCGAACGAGAAAGCCCUUCGGGGUGAGUACAGUGGCGAACGGGUGAGUAACACGUGGGUAACCUGCCCCUCGCAGGGGGACAACCGGGGGAAACCCCGGCUAAUACCCCUUACGCUCCGAGGUCCGCAUGGGCCACGGAGGAAAGGUAGCUUCGGCCAUCCGGCGAGGGAUGGGCCCGCGGUCCAUUAGCUAGUUGGUGGGGUAACGGCUCACCAAGGCGACGAUGGAUAGCUGGUCUGAGAGGAUGAUCAGCCACAUUGGGACUGAGACACGGCCCAGACUCCUACGGGAGGCAGCAGUCGGGAAUCUUGCGCAAUGGGCGAAAGCCUGACGCAGCAACACCGUGUGGGCGACGAAGGCCUUCGGGUCGUAAAGCCCUGUUGUUGGGGACGAAGGGCGAAGGGUUAAUAGCCCCUAGUCUGACGGUACCCUUCGAGGAAGCCCCGGCUAACUACGUGCCAGCAGCCGCGGUAAUACGUAGGGGGCGAGCGUUGUCCGGAAUUAUUGGGCGUAAAGAGCGUGUAGGCGGUUCGGUAAGUCUGCCGUGAAAACCCGGGGCUCAACCCUGGGCGUGCGGUGGAUACUGCCGGGCUAGAGGGUGGUAGAGGCGAGUGGAAUUCCCGGUGUAGCGGUGAAAUGCGCAGAUAUCGGGAGGAACACCAGUAGCGAAGGCGGCUCGCUGGGCCAUUCCUGACGCUGAGACGCGAAAGCUAGGGGAGCGAACAGGAUUAGAUACCCCCGUAGUCC